rnacentral:rRNA from 1 species
CAAGGAAUUUUCCGCAAUGGGGGCAACCCUGACGGAGCAACGCCGCGUGCGGGAUGACGCCUUUUGGGGUGUAAACCGCUUUUGCCGAGGAGGAGAAUGGACAGUACUCGGCGAAUAAGGACCGGCUAACUACGUGCCAGCAGCCGCGGUAAUACGUAGGGUCCAAGCGUUGUCCGGAGUUACUGGGCGUAAAGCGCGCGCAGGCGGCUUUUCAAGCCUCACGUGAAAGCCCCGGGGGCUUAACCCGGGGGAGGUCGUGGGGAACUGGAAAGCUUGAGGCCGGUAGAGGUGGGUGGAAUUCCUGGUGGAGUGGUGAAAUGCGUAGAGAUCAGGAAGAACACCGGUGGCGAAGGCGGCCCACUGGGCCGGAACUGACGCUGAGGCGCGAAGGCGUGGGGAGCGAACAGGAUUAGAUACCCUGGUAGUCCACGCAGUAAACGAUGUCGACUCGGUGUGGGCGGUCUUGACCCCGUCCGUGCCACAGCUAACGCGCAAAGUCGACCGCCUGGGGAGUACGGCCGCAAGGCUAAAACUCAAAGGAAUUGACGG